UUGGGGAGGAAAGAGACCAUAGCCAGGACACAUGGUCAGAUGAGGCCUUCACAAGCCAAUUGCUGAAAUCAUGAAAUUAAAAGCCAUUGAUUUAAUUAGGUCACCUCAGCACUUUGAUCAGGGAGACCAUUUACCAAGUGUGAAGUUGCUUGAUAUUUGGCUAUUACAACAGAAGGAAGAAAAGAAGGAUCAAUAGUUGAAGAAGCACUCAUGGAUAUGCACAGAGACCAAGCACUUAAUGAGCAGUGCUGUGUUUUCUUCCUAUGAAAAGAAAAAAGAAAAGACUCCAGAUGGAGAGCCUCAAAUUGUCGGCAGAUUUUUUGAAAUUCCCCUGGAAUUUGUAUUGGUGAUGCAGAGCUUGGUGCAGACUGACAAUUUUCAGGAGGCCCCAGGGCAUGUCACAGUUCACUCUUCAGUGAAUAACCCCAUGGAGGGCAGGGCAGACCAAAUAAGAAAAGAAACGAAAUGAAGAUGGGCACUGCAUCUGUAAUGGGAUAAGUCGACCAGUCCCCUUUUCUUCUCCUUUUGGUUCUUCAGUACCUUCAAAGGGAGCCAUAAUAAAGCACAAACAGAAUCAGCUUUCAAAAGCUCCCUGGCUUCCCAUCUGCUGCUGUGGGCUUCCUGUGGGAAACAGGGAACCACUGGCCUGUGGGAGAGGAAUCAACUAUUUCCCAAAGCCACUGGAAGAGCACUUUUCAAAGUAUGCAGUUGUGAUUCAUUAAACAACGCUGGACUCUAGGUGACCGACAUGAUUCCUGGGGGCAGCUGCACACAAGUUUGUAGAAAGUGAAGAAGGUAACACCAAUGUUGUGGCUCAUGCGUGUAAUCUCAGUGCUUUGGGAGAUGAAGAUGGAAGAUCACUUGAGGCCAGAGUUCAGGAACAGCCUAGGUAACAUAGCAAGAUCCACCCUCUGCCUUCCCACCCCCAUCUCUACAAAAACUUUCAAAAAUUAGCUGGGCAUGGUGGCACACACCUGUAGUCUCAGUUACCCAGAAGGCUGAAGUGAGAAGAUCACUUGGGCAAAGGAGUUCAAGAUUAGAGUGAACUAUAAUUGAGCCACUGCACUCUAGUCUGGGCAGCAAAGUGAGACUCUCGCUCUAAAAUAA